GACUACCGGGGUAUCUAAUCCCGUUCGCUACCCUAGCUUUCGCUCCUCAGCGUCAGAAAAGACCCAGUAAGCCGCCUUCGCCACCGGUGUUCCAGAUGAUAUCAACGCAUUUCACCGCUCCACCAUCUGUUCCGCUUACCCCUGUCUCCCUCUAGCUCCACGGUUUGAAGCGCAAUUCCUCGGUUGAGCCGAGGGAUUUCACACCUCACCUACGGAGCCGCCUACGAACUCUUUAAGCCCAGUGAUACCGAAUAACGUUUGGACGGUUCGUCUUACCGCGGCUGCUGGCACGAACUUAGCCCGUCCUUCCUCCUAGGAUCGCUCAAAUUUGAGGGAGUACCCUCAUCUCUUGCUCCCCUACGACAGCGGUUUACAACCCGAAGGCCUUCAUCCCGCACGCGGCGUCGCUCGGUCAAGCUUGCGCUCAUUGCCGAAGAUUCUCGACUGCAGCCCCCCGUAGG
rnacentral:rRNA from 1 species